rnacentral:tRNA from 1 species
AGAAGGCUCAGUGGUGAAGAGCACUUGCUGUUUUGCAGGAGACCUGGGUUCAGUUCCCAGCUUUUA